rnacentral:lncRNA from 1 species
GUGCCCAGACCCAUCGACCUGACGGACGAUUCCUCGACUAAGGUCGGGAUGCCCCGAGGGUCGACCGUAGAGUCUCAAACUCCCUCGACCUCGGGAAGCGUCGCAGGUCAGCAGAGUGUUCCCAAAACUACCGACCUGGCGUAAGAUUCCUCGACCGAGGUCGGGAUGCCCCGAGGUUCGACCGUAGAGUCCCAAACUCCCUCGACCUCGGAAAGAGCCGCGGAUCAAUGAAGCCUUCCCAGAUCCCCUCAACUUCGGUGGGCGUCAUCGGGUCCGCGAGAAGCCCGAGCCCCCUGACAAGUCAAAGAAUGACUCCGAAAGCCAACGAGGAAACGAAGCAACCCGCUCCGCUAUGAAGGACACAAUUCUGGGAAUGCAAAAGGUACAUCUAACUCGACGUCCUCCUUGUCAAAUUUUAUCUACGCGCUGCUAGCGGAAUCUCAGUCAAAGUCAGAACCUUAUUUCGCCCAAAGUCGGACUACUCCUAUGAGUCGGCUUAAGACCGAUCUCCCACCAACAUUAUGCAUACUCCGUCCGUUAAA